AUCUAGCCCCGAUAGAAGCGGUAUCCUUUUUUGCUUUUUCUGCAAAAAAGAUAAAGCGGAUAGCGGGACAAAAC
rnacentral:sRNA from 1 species